rnacentral:rRNA from 1 species
CCUACGGGAGGCUGCAGUGGGGAAUAUUGGACAAUGGGGGGAACCCUGAUCCAGCCAUGCCGCGUGUGUGAAGAAGGCCCUCGGGUUGUAAAGCACUUUCAGUGAGGAAGAACGCCUGGUGGUUAAUACCCAUCAGGAAAGACAUCACUCACAGAAGAAGCACCGGCUAACUCCGUGCCAGCAGCCGCGGUAAUACGGAGGGUGCGAGCGUUAAUCGGAAUUACUGGGCGUAAAGCGCGCGUAGGUGGCUUGAUAAGCCGGUUGUGAAAGCCCCGGGCUCAACCUGGGAACGGCAUCCGGAACUGUCAAGCUAGAGUGCAGGAGAGGAAGGUAGAAUUCCCGGUGUAGCGGUGAAAUGCGUAGCGAUCGGGAGGAAUACCAGUGGCGAAGGCGGCCUUCUGGACUGACACUGACACUGAGGUGCGAAAGCGUGGGUAGCAAACAGGAUUAGAUACCCCAGUAGUC